rnacentral:lncRNA from 1 species
UUUAAAAAUAUUUUAUUUAUUCAUAAAAAUAUCAAAAAAUAUUUUCCACAUUUCUUAAUGUUUUAUUUAAUUUUAUUUAAUAUUUAUUUUUAUAUUUAUUUAAUGUUAAUAUUUUAUUUCAAUUAUUUAUUUCAAGUAGAUCAUUUUAACACACAUUUAUUUCUUGAUUUUAUUUUCAUGACUUAGAAUUAUUUUUAACUUUUGAUUUUUGGGAUGAAGGUUGACCAAUGUCUC